rnacentral:rRNA from 1 species
UACGUAGGGUGCGAGCGUUGUCCGGAAUUAUUGGGCGUAAAGAGCUCGUAGGUGGCGGGUCACGUCGGGUGUGAAAGCCCGGGGCUUAACUCCGGGUCUGCAUUCGAUACGGGUCUGCUGGGGUCCGGCAGGGGAGACUGGAAUUCCUGGUGUAGCGGCGAAAUGCGCAGAUAUCAGGAGGAACACCGGUGGCGAAGGCGGGUCUCUGGGCCGGUACCGACGCUGAGGAGCGAAAGCGUGGGGAGCGAACAGG